UCAGUUCGGAUUGAAGGCUGAAAUUCGCCUUCAUGAAGCUGGAAUUGCUAGUAAUGGCAGGUCAGCAUACUGCCGUGAAUACGUUCCCGGGCCUUGUACACACCGCCCGUCACACCAUGAGAGUUGGGAAUACCCGAAGCCUGUGAGCUAACUGUAAGGAGGCAGCAGUCGAAGGUAGAAUCAAUGAUUGGGGUGAAGUCGUAACAAGGUACC
rnacentral:rRNA from 1 species